UAAUGUUUCAAAUAAACAAAA
ensembl:piRNA 21ur-15426 ncRNA